rnacentral:rRNA from 1 species
UACAGGGGGUGCAAACGUUGCUCGGAAUCAUUGGGCGUAAAGCGCACGUAGGCGGUUUGUUAUGUCGGAUGUGAAAGCCCUUGGCUCAACUGAGGAAGUGCAUCCGAAACUGGCAGCUAGAGUACUAAAGAGGGUCGCGGAAUUCCCGGUGUAGAGGUGAAAUUCGUAGAUAUCGGGAGGAACAUCGGUGGCGAAGGCGGCGACCUGGGUAGAUACUGACGCUGAGGUGCGAAAGCGUGGGGAGCAAACAGG